CGAAAUGCGAUAAGUAAUGUGAAUUGCAGAAUUCAGUGAAUCAUCGAAUCUUUGAACGCACCUUGCGCUCCUUGGUAUUCCUUGGAGCAUGCCUGUUUGAGUAUCAUGAAAUCUUCAAAGUAAAUCUUUUGUUAACUCAAUUGGUUUCUACUUUGGUAUUGGAGGUCUUUGCAGCUUCACACCUGCUCCUCUUUGUUCAUUAGCUGGAUCUCAGUGUUAUGCUUGGUUCCACUCGGCGUGAUAAGUUAUCUAUCGCUGAGGACACUGUAAAAGGUGGCCAAGGUAAAUGCAGAUGAACCGCUUCUAAUAGUCCAUUGACUUGGACAAUACUUUUAUUAUCUGAUCUCAAAACAGGUAGGACUACCCGCUGAACUUAAGC
rnacentral:misc_RNA from 1 species